rnacentral:miRNA from 1 species
ACCUCAGAGAUCCUGUUUCAAGAGGUCUGGGGUGGGGCCUGAGAUUCUGCAUUUUCAGCAAGCUCCCAGGUGAUGCU